UGCGUAGUGGUCUUGUAAGUCAGAAGUGAAAGGCUACGGCUUAACCGUAGUAAGCUUUUGAAACUGCAGGACUUGAGUGCAGGAGAGGAAAGUGGAAUUCCUAGUGUAGCGGUGAAAUGCGUAGAUAUUAGGAGGAACACCAGUGGCGAAGGCGACUUUCUGGACUGUUACUGACACUGAGGCACGAAAGCGUGGGGAGCGAACA
rnacentral:rRNA from 1 species